rnacentral:rRNA from 1 species
CCUACGGGUGGCUGCAGUAAGGAAUAUUGGUCAAUGGACGAAAGUCUGAACCAGCCAUCCCGCGUGCAGGAUGAAAGCCCUAUGGGUUGUAAACUGCUUUUAGCAGAGAAGAAAAGCUUUCAUUAAUGAGAGUCUGACGGUAUCUGCAGAAUAAGCACCGGCUAACUCCGUGCCAGCAGCCGCGGUAAUACGGAGGGUGCGAGCGUUAUCCGGAAUUACUGGGGCGAAGGGGGACGUAGGCGGAGGUUGUGAAAGGCUGUGGCUUAACCAUGGAAUUGCCAUUGAUACUGCAGAGCUUGAAUGAGGUUGAGGUUGGCGGAAUGUGACAUGUAGCGGUGAAAUGCUUAGAUAUGUCAUGGAACACCGAUUGCGAAGGCAGCUGACUGGACCUAUAUUGACGCUGAGGCACGAAAGCGUGGGGAGCGAACAGGAUUAGAUACCCCUGUAGUC